rnacentral:rRNA from 1 species
GUAGGUGGCAAGCGUUGUCCGGAAUUAUUGGGCGUAAAGCGCGCGCAGGCGGUUCUUUAAGUCUGAUGUGAAAGCCCACGGCUCAACCGUGGAGGGUCAUUGGAAACUGGAGAACUUGAGUACAGAAGAGGAAAGCGGAAUUCCACGUGUAGCGGUGAAAUGCGUAGAGAUGUGGAGGAACACCAGUGGCGAAGGCGGCUUUCUGGUCUGUAACUGACGCUGAGGCGCGAAAGCGUGGGGAGCAAACAGGGAUUAGAUACCCUGGUAGUCCACGCCGUAAACGAUGAGUGCUAAGUGUUAGGGGGUUUCCGCCCCCUUAGUGCUGCAGCUAACGCAUUAAGCACUCCGCCGUGGGAGUACGGCCGCAAGGCUAG